rnacentral:tRNA from 1 species
UGGCUCAGUGGCUAAAGCGAUUGGCUGCUAACCAAAAGGUCAGUGGUUCGGUACCAUU